rnacentral:rRNA from 1 species
AUGAGGUCGUCGGCGAUGCGGCAGCAGCUGCUGCCAUGCUUGGCCCUGCUGCUUCUUGCGGGCGCGGCGUCGGCCCAGGCCCAGAAGUACAACGCGGUGUUCAACUUCGGCGACUCGAUCACGGACACGGGCAACCUGUGCACGAGCGGGAAGCCAACGGCGAUCACGUUCACGCAGCCGCCCUACGGCGAGACCUACUUCGGCACCCCCACCUGCCGGUGCUCCGACGGCCGCGUCAUCGUCGACUUCCUCAGCACCAAGUUUGGGGUGCCGUUCCUACCGCCGUCCAAGGCGAACGGCACGGACUUCAAGCAGGGCGCCAACAUGGCCAUCACGGGGGCGACGGCCAUGGACGCGCCCUUCUUCCGGGGCCUCGGCCUCUCCGACAAGAUCUGGAACAAUGGGCCCAUCAGCCUCCAAAUCCAGUGGUUCCAGCAGAUCACGGCCACCGUGUGCGGCGACGCCGCCGCCUGCAAGCGCUACCUGCGGGACUCGCUGGUGGUGUUCGGCGAGUUCGGCGGGAACGACUACAACGCGAUGCUGUUCGGCAACUACAGCGCGGACCAGGCGAGGAGGUACACGCCCAAGAUCGUCAACACCAUCAUCAGGGGCGUGGAGAAGGUGGUGGGCAUGGGGGCCAGGGACGUGGUGGUGCCCGGGGUGCUCCCCAUCGGCUGCUUCCCCAUCUACCUCACCGUCUACGGCACCAACAGCAGCGCCGACUACGACAGCCUCGGCUGCCUCCGCAAGUUCAACGAUCUGUCCACGUUCCACAACAACCUGCUCCAGGCCAAGAUCGCCCGCCUCCGGAAGCGCUACGGCCGGGCGGCGCGGAUCAUGUACGGCGACUUCUACUCCGCCGUCUACGACAUGGUCCAGAACCCCAAGAAAUACGGUUUCAACGCGGUUUUCGAGGCGUGCUGCGGCUCCGGGGGAGGCAAGUACAACUACGCCAACAGAGCGCGGUGCGGGAUGCCGGGCGCGGCGGCGUGCGCCAACCCGGCCGACCACCUCAGCUGGGACGGCAUCCACCUCACCGAGGCAGCAUACAAGCACAUCAGCGACGGCUGGCUCAACGGGCCCUACUCCAGCCCGCCCAUCCUCCACACAUAA